rnacentral:rRNA from 1 species
CUAACCACACCAAGGAGAUGCGGAUCCUGUGGUCUUAUAGCUUGGUACUUGCUCCUUUCCGUACUCUAUUUAUAACCGAUCAUUAACACUUCGGGGUUAAGAACUGACUUUCCCUGUGGUUUCCGGAGACGGGAGGGAGAGAUAGAUAGGUUCUCUACCUUCCCGUCUCGAAAAAAAAACCAAAAAAGUAGAAAAGUAGUUUCUCAACUUGUUACUUCUAUCUACCGUUCACGGACUAGCUAAACUAGUCCGGCACAUCCUUGUUCCAAGUUUAGCAAGCAAGCAAUCCUACGGAGUCGACGUAUGUAGUGACGUGAAGGUGAACUGUGGAUAAAUUUGCCGAGCAGAGCGGCGAUGGAAUAGGAUAAAGGUAUGAAGACAGCGAGGUAGGGGCAUACCCACCUCUUGGGCAGCGACAGAGCCGACACUAUGGCCUCCGAGAUCCCUUCAGCCUCCUCUCUCGUGAGUAGAACCCCACCCGAAUGAUGAAUAUACGAAAGUCGUCAAUAGGAGAGGCGUGAACCGAUGGGUCGCAAAUGGCAUCCGUGCUAUUGACCCU